rnacentral:rRNA from 1 species
UACGUAGGGUGCGAGCGUUAAUCGGAAUUACUGGGCGUAAAGCGUGCGCAGGCGGUUUUGUAAGCCAGAUGUGAAGUCCCCGGGCUUAACCUGGGAAUGGCAUUUGGGACUGCAAGGCUUGAGUGUGGCAGAGGAGACUGGAAUUCCUGGUGUAGCAGUGAAAUGCGUAGAUAUCAGGAGGAACACCGAUGGCGAAGGCAGGUCUCUGGGCUAACACUGACGCUCAUGCACGAAAGCGUGGGGAGCAAACAGG